rnacentral:misc_RNA from 3 species
AAGUCGUAACAAGGUCUCCGUUGGUGAACCAGCGGAGGGAUCAUUACAGAGUUGCAAAACUCCCACAAACCAUCGCGAAUCUUACCCGUACGGUUGCCUCGGCGCUGGCGGUCCGGAAGGCCCUCGGGCCCCCGGAUCCUCGGGUCUCCCGCUCGCGGGAGGCUGCCCGCCGGAGUGCCGAAACCAAACUCUUGAUAUUUUAUGUCUCUCUGAGUAAACUUUUAAAUAAGUCAAAACUUUCAACAACGGAUCUCUUGGUUCUG